GUGCACACUCCAGCAGCUCCUGUUAGAAAGUUGGAACGAUCCAGAGAAGAUCAACAUGGCCCCUGCCCAAGGAUGACAUGCACAUUUGUGAAGUAUUCCAUAAAUUU